AUUGAACGCUGGCGGCAGGCCUAACACAUGCAAGUCGAGCGGAUGAAGGGAGCUUGCUCCUGGAUUCAGCGGCGGACGGGUGAGUAAUGCCUAGGAAUCUGCCUGGUAGUGGGGGAUAACGUCCGGAAACGGGCGCUAAUACCGCAUACGUCCUGAGGGAGAAAGUGGGGGAUCGUCGGACCUCACGCUAUCAGAUGAGCCUAGGUCGGAUUGGCUAGUUGGUGGGGUAAAGGCCUACCAAGGCGACGAUCCGUAACUGGUCGGAGAGGAUGAUAAGUCACACUGGAACUGAGACACGGUCCAGACUCCUACGGGAGGCAGCAGUGGGGAAUAUUGGACAAUGGGCGAAAGCCUGAUCCAGCCAUGCCGCGUGUGUGAAGAAGGUCUUCGGAUUGUAAAGCACUUUAAGUUGGGAGGAAGGGCAGUAAGUUAAUACCUUGCUGUUUUGACGUUACCAACAGAAUAAGCACCGGCUAACUUCGUG
rnacentral:rRNA from 1 species